rnacentral:rRNA from 1 species
UACAGAGGGUGCGAGCGUUAAUCGGAAUUACUGGGCGUAAAGCGCACGUAGGCGGCUUGGUAUGUCGGGUGUGAAAUCCCCCGGGCUCAACCUGGGAACUGCAUCCGAAACUGCCUUGCUAGAGUAUGGGAGAGGGAAGUGGAAUUUCCGGUGUAGCGGUGAAAUGCGUAGAUAUCGGAAGGAACAUCAGUGGCGAAGGCGACUUCCUGGACCAAUACUGACGCUCAGGUGCGAAAGCGUGGGGAGCAAACAGG